rnacentral:rRNA from 1 species
GACGUAGGGGGCCAGCGUUGCUCGGAAUUACUGGGCGUAAAGGGUCCGUAGGCGGUGCGGUAAGUCGGGAGUGAAAUCUCUGGGCUUAACUCAGAGGCUGCUUCCGAAACUACCGUGCUAGAGUGCGGGAGAGGCAAGUGGAAUUGCGGGUGUAGCGGUGAAAUGCGUAGAUAUCCGCAGGAACAUCCGAGGCGAAAGCGGCUUGCUGGAUCGCAACUGACGCUGAGGGACGAAAGCUAGGGGAGCAAACAGG